rnacentral:rRNA from 1 species
GACGAACGCUGGCGGCGUGCCUAAUACAUGCAAGUCGAGCGGGGUUUCAAAGCUUGCUUUGGAACUUUAGCGGCGGACGGGUGAGUAACACGUGGGCAACCUGCCUGUAAGACUGGGAUAACACCGGGAAACCGGUGCUAAUACCGGAUAAUCCUCAACCUCACAUGAGGUUGAGCUGAAAGACGGUUUCGGCUGUCACUUACAGAUGGGCCCGCGGCGCAUUAGCUAGUUGGUGAGGUAACGGCUCACCAAGGCGACGAUGCGUAGCCGACCUGAGAGGGUGAUCGGCCACACUGGGACUGAGACACGGCCCAGACUCCUACGGGAGGCAGCAGUAGGGAAUCUUCCGCAAUGGACGAAAGUCUGACGGAGCAACGCCGCGUGAGCGAAGAAGGCCUUCGGGUCGUAAAGCUCUGUUGUCAGGGAAGAACAAGUAUCGGAGUAACUGCCGGUACCUUGACGGUACCUGACCAGAAAGCCACGGCUAACUACGUGCCAGCAGCCGCAGUAA